GGCCUCCGCUGUCCCGCCUGGUACUGCACAUCAGCGGCCUUGGAGGAGACCUCUGACAUCGUCCAGUCCCACCUAUGUCUGAACACCUCCAUGUCAACCAGACUGUGGGACUCAGUGCCCAGUGUCGAGUCUGUUUUUAAACACACCGAGGCACCGUGACUCCACCACUUCCCUGGGCACCCCGUUCCAAUAUUUAGCCAUUCUUUCUGUGAAGAAAUUCUUACCUUAUGUCCAGCCUGACCGUCCCCCAGUGCAGCUUAAAACUGUUCUCUCAUGCUGUCACUUACUGGCUGGGAGAAGAGCCUGAGCCCCACCUGGCUGCACCCUCCUUUCAGCGAAUUGUAGGGUUUACCUUGUGUAAUUGUUUGGCUUGUCCACUGUUCCUGAUGUGCUGAAACUGUUCUUUGGGGGACUUUUAUGGAAUUCAGAGUUAUUGUAAUAGAAGAAUGAUACAGAAUUCCAUUUACUGUUAAAGGUAACAUUUAAUGAUGACAGAAGAUUAAAUGGCCUAUGCAGAAUCUUUUGCCUCUAGUUGAUAUGGCCCAUAAAUUCAUUUGAGGGAAGGCUGAAAAAAUGGGAGGGAUUUCACGAUUGCAGAUUUCCCGGUCGUCUGCUAUCUGGGGAAAUUGAAAACACGAGAGAACUGUUUCUUCUGGAGAAGUCUCCAUAGACUGAAAAGAGAUACUCCUCUCCCUAAGUAAAUUGGAGAAAGAUU